UACGUAGGUGGCAAGCGUUGUCCGGAUUUACUGGGCGUAAAGAGCGCGCAGGCGGUCGAGUAAGUCGAAUGUGAAAGCCCCCGGCUUAACUGGGGAGGGUCAUUCGAUACUGUUCGACUUGAGGGCAGGAGAGGGCAGCAGAAUUCCCGGUGUAGUGGUGAAAUGCGUAGAUAUCGGGAGGAAUACCAGUGGCGAAGGCGGCUGCCUGGCCUGUUCUUGACGCUGAGGCGCGAAAGCUGGGGGAGCAAACGGG
rnacentral:rRNA from 1 species